CACAUACAUGUGUGUACGUAUGCGAUCAGAAGAAGGAGCCAGGAGAGCUCAAACCCUAGUUCAACAAAUCCUCCAAAUCGAAGCUCAAAUCAAGCCCGAAUCGUCUGCAUGAUUACAAAUUCGUGAUCGCCUAGUCGUGGGGAUCAUAAGUUGACUCUAAACAAGCUAGGUGGGAGCUUGAAAAGGAACGGGUCAAACGGAUCAUGGAUGCGAAGAAUGUUUGCGCGGACGCGAGGGUAAAACGGCUUAUGGAAUUUACGUGGCUAUGAAUCAGCAAAUUAUUAAGGCAAGGUAUUAAAACGGGUCAAUACUUUGACAUGCGCCAGGUACAUUUUGGAUGCCGGAAGACGAUCAAGCUCGACGAAGGACCGAACACGAUAUAGAUACAUGCUUCCGCACUGUAACACAUUGCAAAUAUUAAACAACGAAUUCAACCACGUUAUGUAGAAUAACUUAUCAUACUCGAUAUAUAUGAUUUAUAGUGUA